AUAGUCACAGUUAUACGUUAGCAAAAUAGUCAAGCAUUGGAAUAUAAUUGAGCAAUACAAACACGCUCAUGCUAACAUCAGCUCGUUGUUCAUACGACGCCGAUAUUCUCCAUCACUUUUAAGAAUGAUCUUUCCUGCAACACUCCAAGCAAUACCUCGAGCAUCAUAGGCACUCAGUAUUGGUGCAAGAGUCGGUGCCAUUCGACCGACAUCUCUGAGACUCUCCGCUCGAUACCGCUGAUUGUCCGCGACCGGCGUCGCAGCCGCUCCUAUAGAGCAUUCCAAUAUCCGCAUCCUGUGGACAUAUAUAUACGGUAGCUCGCAUCUAAGCUUCUCGUGACAGCAAAGAAUACCACCAAUAUCGGACCUCAAAGUUCCAGCUUGUGUGGUGCACACAGCUAUCCCGUGCCGGGACACGAAACGUAUUUUCUUAAGACUUGGAGAAGAUGGCUUUUGUUUAUGACCUUUAUUAGAGAUCAACAAGAUAAUAUGCGGUGAUUUGGCAAUGGAUUUUACAGGAACAAAGGAUACAUCAAGCAUUCAGAAAUGUUUCUCCUUUACAGCUGUUUGGGAAAUGGCGCACAGCAAACUUAGAAACGUUGACGACCUUGGAUCGACUCCAUUCUUCAGCAACAUAUUAUCCAUACCGAGUAUCAAAUAGAUAAGCGCCAAAAGUCAAUAGAAAAAAUGUAUAGCCUGUUUUGUGGAUGUCCAACAAUAACCCAGACGAGCAAACAGCAAUCGCUCGAAAUCGAAUCUUUUUCGGUUUGGAAUCAUUCAUUGGCGUUUACAUUUUUGUCGGGUGAGCAGGAGCCCAACAUUCUACCACUACCUCAAGGCACCCCGGCAUGGAAUAACUAUUAGCACCACACAGACUGAAACUUUGAGCUUCAGACUGUGUAGUGUUCAUCGUUGUCACAAGAAGCUUAGCUGCGACUACAGUCGCAGACAAUCAGCGGUAUGAAGUGAAGAGUCCCAGUGAGGAGCCGGACAGCACCGGCUCUUGCAUAAAUGCUGAGUGCCAAUGUUGCUUGAUAUGACAAACAUCUUGGUCCCGCGGCGAUCCCGGAACCAGCUUGCUCAACUAUGGAGUUAGACGACGAUCGCCAACUCCACAUACAGACAUGUGGCGACAACAACAGCAACAACAAAGCCUCUAGGUACAAAGGAAACAUUUUUACUUUUGGAGCUUCUAGAAGCUCUAAUUUGUGUCCAAAUUUGCAGAAGUACGCAAAACAGAGAUAUCCGUCAAUUGUUAUAGACAACCUUUUUUGGCUCCUUACUUUUAUCAUUGAAUCCGUGGUGGGCAUCUAAGAAUGCUGAAUGUUAAUAUAUAAGGAACAAUUUUUACUUUUGAUAUACUUCUAGAAGCUCUAAUUUGUGUCCAAAUUUGCAGAAGUACGCAAAACCAAGAGAUAUCCGUCAAUUGUUAUAGACAACCUUUUUUGGCCCCUUACUUGUAUCAUUGAAUCCGUGGUCGGCAUCUAAGGAUGCUGAAUGUUAAUAUAUGUAUAAUUUUAUAAUAUAAA